AAAAACAGUACAGUGAGUGGCUAAGUGUUCUAAAAAAAUAAAUAAAUAAAAGCAACAAUCCAUGGAAGAGGUAGACCUUAAAGAUGAGUGGGGUUUGAUGGGAAGACAGUAAAGGCAGAAAGCAGCAUUUCAUCACUGACAACUAUUUAUCAAGCACCUCCAUGUGUUUGGCCAUUACAUUAAAGUUUUGGGGAUAAAGAGAUGGAAAAGCUUCUUAUUGUCUUUCUCCUAAAUACUCUGUGUUUGGGAAAGGCUUAAACAGAUAGUAAAAGACACAGUGACACACAGAAGCAUGCAAUACAUGGAGCAAGAGUUUCAGGUAUUCUAAAAAUGCAGGGAACGUAUCCCUGGGACAGAGAGUGAGCAGUUUACGUGGAUCAAAGGGCUCACUUAUGAGAACGACGGCCUUCUCUAAGCCAGGCACUGAAUACUAUGGCUACAAAGAGCUCAGAGUCAACAAGAGGAACCAGGAACUGUAACACAAUGUGUGGAGCAGGUUAUGAAAAGAGGGGCACCUCUUCCAGUCAGAGGCGUCAGAGAAGGCUUCCUGGUGGCAUUCUUUUCAGAUUUGGUGUUCAUAAAAUAACUAGUAAGGAAGUGGUAGAAGAAAGUGAAAUUUUUCACAGCAGAUUAUGUGAAACACAACUAAUGAAACCAGCCAAAGUUUCUGAGUUCUUCUUUUCCCCAGCCUUCUCACCAGCCAAAACGUGUGUGAUGGACUCAUGGACUCAUUCACUGCAUCGAUCUUGGACACUGCCCAGCUUCCCCACUCUCCCAUUUAUCCCAAAUUGCUGAGGAUUUCCUGGCUAAGAACUAUCACUUUCCAGAGCUCUUUAUUUUCUGUUGUUUGGCUCAGCAGCACAAGCUGAUAUCCUUUUUAAAAUAUUGUUUUCACAAAGAAAUAAAGUAUCUUCUAUCCCAGAAGGGUUCUUGUAUGCAUGUAGGUGAGCACACAGCACAGAGCCGUGCUGCAGUGUGUGUACCUUGUUGUCACUGUCUCUCCUCCAGGAGGAACAUCAGACUCCUGUACACCAGGCUUCCCACAGCCCAGGAGGAACACAUCCAAGCCUUACCAGUCAUUUGCAUCUUAGUAAGACUAAAACUAACAAAACUAAUAAUGAAGCUUAAAAUAUAUUGAAGGGUUACAGCAUGCCAAGCAUAUAGGUAUUGUGUUAUUUAAUUCACAAUCACUUUUUGAGCUAGGCACCAGUACCAGCUUUAAGAACUCAGGAAGCUGAGGUGUCAAGAUUUUAAGUCAUUUGCUCAAGGUCACACAGCUAGUCAGUGUAGUGGGAGACUCAAUCCCCCAUGCGUCCUAUGCAGUGCUGUCGCCCAGGUGUGAAGAGGGAUGUGUGGGUCUGAGAACAAAGUUAGCCUGCUUAGUACUUUGUCCAAGAUCCACCCUGGCUCUGAGCCCAAGAAACAAGGCAGGAUCAGCAGCCACAAAGUCCAACAUUCAGCCAGGCUCCCAUACUGCAGGGGUCUCUAUCACAGCCUGGCUCUGGAUAUGGGCAAACGAAAGCUAGCAGCAGAGUACCCAGGCUGCCUCUGCGCAGGGAUGACUGGGGGGUAUUAACAACAAAAGAGAGGCAGAAGACGUGGGGUGGGCUGGCUGGAAGGGACUAGGAAACAGGGACACCUUGCAGAUAAUGCUCAGGAAUGAGGAGUAAGUAUCUUUUAUUGAACAAAGCUUGUAAUGGCAUUUCUAACAAUGGCAGGACUGACGGCUAUAAAAGGCACUCAUCAGACACAGUAGACUCGUGUUUACACUGGGAAGGGCUGCUGAUCCUUCAUAGGCCUUUGAAGCCACCCAUGCUCACACAGAUUGUAAUGCACUAACUAUGAAGUAAUGUCUUCAAAUAAAAGGGAGGAGUUGAAAUAGACCUGUCUAGCCAGUUAUUUCUCUAAGGCACUUCAA